AACGAACGCUGGCGGCAUGCCUAACACAUGCAAGUCGAACGAGACCUUCCUGUCUAGUGGCGCACGUGUGCUUACCGCCUGGGAACCUGCCCUUAGGUUCCGUAUACUUCCCCGUAAGGGGUGCUCAUACCGCAUAAUCUCUUCGGACCUAAGAUGUAUCGCCUUUGGAUGGGCCCGCGUUGGAUUCGCUAGUUGGUAGGGUACUAGCCUGCCAAGGCGUCGAUCCAUAGCUGGUCUGAGAGGAUGACCAGCCAGACUGGAACUGAGACACGGCCCAGACUGGUACGGAGGGGAGCAGUGGGGAAUAUUAGACAAGGGGGGAAAGCCUGACAAAGCCAUGCCGGGGGAGUGAGGAAGGCCUUAGGAUUGUAAAGCUCUUUUAGCCGAGAUGAUAAUGACAGUAACGGGAGAAUAAGCACCGGCUAACUCCGUG
rnacentral:rRNA from 1 species